rnacentral:lncRNA from 1 species
UUAUUUUUAAACCGUAGCAGUCUUUGCCUCAAUGUGUAUUUCCAGAUAUAAGCCAGGAUGACUUCCAAGAGCUCGAGAAAUAUGUUCCUGGUCUGUUCUGACAGAGGAGUCCUCAUUUCCACUGGUCAAGAGAAAAUAACUCUAAUCCUAGUAAAUGGAAACUACACAUGGCCUAAGGGGGACUGAAGCUCGGUCGAAUUUACGCAAAAUUGCUCUUUUCUCAGCAAGUUCUUUUUCACAUAAUGAGCUGACAAGCUUAUUAACAAAAUAUGAGGAAUGCCUGCUUUAGCCUGAACAGAUUUACACACAAAGUGCACUUUCUAGAAUCAAGUGAGCUAGAUC